rnacentral:rRNA from 1 species
UACGGGGGGAGCAAGCGUUGUUCGGAGUUAUUGGGCGUAAAGGGCGUACAGGCGGUGGUGUAAGUCAGAUGUGAAAUGUUCCGGCUCAACCGGGAAGCUGCAUUUGAUACUGCAUCACUUGAGUACAGGAGAGGAGAGCGGAAUUGUCGGUGUAGCGGUGGAAUGUGUAGAUAUCGACAAGAACACCAGUGGCGAAGGCGGCUCUCUGGCCUGAUACUGACGCUGACGCGCGAAAGCUAGGGGAGCAAACAGG